rnacentral:tRNA from 1 species
GCCUGGUUGGCUCACUUGGUUGAACAUCUGACUUCAGCUCAGGUCAUGAUCUCACAGUUCAUGGGUUUGAGCCCCAUGUCAGGCU